rnacentral:rRNA from 1 species
GGGGAAUAUUGCACAAUGGGCGCAAGCCUGAUGCAGCAACGCCGCGUGAAGGAAGACGGUUUUCGGAUUGUAAACUUCUGUUCUUAGUGAAGAAUAAUGACGGUAGCUAAGGAGCAAGCCACGGCUAACUACGUGCCAGCAGCCGCGGUAAUACGUAGGUGGCAAGCGUUGUCCGGAAUUACUGGGUGUAAAGGGAGCGCAGGCGGGUGAUCAAGUCAGCUGUGAAAACUACGGGCUUAACCCGUAGACUGCAGUUGAAACUGUUCAUCUUGAGUGAAGUAGAGGUUGGCGGAAUUCCGAGUGUAGCGGUGAAAUGCGUAGAUAUUCGGAGGAACACCGGUGGCGAAGGCGGCCAACUGGGCUUUAACUGACGCUGAGGCUCGAAAGUGUGGGGAGCAAAC